rnacentral:rRNA from 1 species
GAACGCUUUCGGUCAAAGCUCGUCCUUGUGGCGUGGCUCAGCUGAUGCUUCCUAUCUUCCGGUAGUGGGGUUAAACUCGCUCCGGAUCAUUUACUUUGAAAAAAUUAGAGUGUUCAAAGCAGGCGUAACUUGCCAUUGAAUAUUACAGCAUGGGAUAAUAGAAUAUGACGUUGGUCUUAUUUUGUUGGUUUCUAAGGCUGAUGUA